AACAGCGUAAUAUCUUUUGAAAGAUCAUAUUAAUAAAGGUGUUUGCGACCUCGAUGUUG
rnacentral:tRNA from 1 species